rnacentral:rRNA from 1 species
AUUCGCGGCCUAUCAGCUUGUUGGUGGGGUAAUGGCCUACCAAGGCGACGACGGGUAGCCGGCCUGAGAGGGCGACCGGCCACACUGGGACUGAGACACGGCCCAGACUCCUACGGGAGGCAGCAGUGGGGAAUAUUGCACAAUGGGCGAAAGCCUGAUGCAGCGACGCCGCGUGAGGGAUGACGGCCUUCGGGUUGUAAACCUCUUUCAGCAGGGAAGAAGCCUCAUUUCGGUGGAGCGACGGUACCUGCAGAAGAAGCACCGGCUAACUACGUGCCAGCAGCCGCGGUAAUACGUAGGGUGCAAGCGUUGUCCGGAAUUAUUGGGCGUAAAGAGCUCGUAGGCGGUGUGUCGCGUCUGCUGUGAAAACUCAGGGCUCAACUCUGAGCUUGCAGUGGGUACGGGCACACUUGAGUGCUGUAGGGGAGACUGGAAUUCCUGGUGUAGCGGUGAAAUGCGCAGAUAUCAGGAGGAACACCGGUGGCGAAGGCGGGUCUCUGGGCAGUUACUGACGCUGAGGAGCGAAAGCAUGGGGAGCGAACAGGAUUAGAUACCCUGGUAGUCCAUGCCGUAAACGUUGGGCGCUAGGUGUGGGGUCCAUUCCACGGAUUCCGUGCCGCAGCUAACGCAUUAAGCGCCCCGCCUGGGGAGUACGGAAU